rnacentral:pre_miRNA from 1 species
UAUAAGUUUCUGUUUCAACGUUCGUCUUAUUUAAAUUUUUUUUACAAUUAGUAUUUUUUGUUGUUAUGAGAUAAUAAAACAUGAAUAGUACUUUAUUUGUGACUUGUGUUUUUAAAUAAGAUGAACGAUUAAAGUUUAGUGUGAAAAAUUAUAGCUGCACUUAGA